rnacentral:rRNA from 1 species
UUCCGGUUGAUCCCGCCGGAGGUCACUGCUAUCGGGGUUCGAUUAAGCCAUGCGAGUCGAGAGGGUUCGGCCCUCGGCGUACUGCUCAGUAACACGUGGAUAACCUGCCCUAAGGAAGGGGAUACCCCCGGGAAACUGGGGAUAAUACCCUAUAGGUUACAGAUGCUGGAAUGCUCUGUACCCGAAAGUUCCGGCGCCUUAGGAUGGAUCUGCGGCCGAUUAGGUUGUUGUCGGGGUAACGGCCCAACAAGCCAGUAAUCGGUACGGGUUGUGGGAGCAAGAGCCCGGAGUUGGAUUCUGAGACACGAAUCCAGGCCCUACGGGGCGCAGCAGGCGCGAAAACUUUACAAUGCGGGCAACCGUGAUAAGGGAACCUCGAGUGCCUGUAUAUGCAGGCUGUCUGGGUGUCUAAAACACACCUAAAGAAAGGGCCGGGCAAGACCGGUGCCAGCCGCCGCGGUAAUACCGGCGGCUCGAGUGGUGGCCACUUUUAUUGGGCUUAAAGCGUUCGUAGCUGGGUUAUUAAGUCCCUUGGGAAAUCCGACGGCUUAACCGUCGGGCGUCUAAGGGAUACUGGCAAUCUUGGAACCGGGAGAGGUGAGGGGUACUUCGGGGGUAGGAGUGAAAUCCUGUAAUCCUCGAGGGACCACCUGUGGCGAAGGCGCCUCACCAGAACGGCUUCGACAGUGAGGGACGAAAGCUGGGGGAGCAAACCGGAUUAGAUACCCGGGUAGUCCCAGCCGUAAACGAUGUGCGUUAGGUGUAUCGGUGACCACGAGUCACCGAGGUGCCGAAGGGAAACCGUGAAACGUACCGCCUGGGAAGUACGGUCGCAAGGCUGAAACUUAAAGGAAUUGGCGGGGGAGCACCACAACAGGUGGAGCCUGCG